AUGACGGUACUCAACAAGGAAGUGACGGCUAACUGCGUGCCAGCAGCCGCGGUAAAACGUAGGUCACAAGCGUUGUCCGGAAUUACUGGGUGUAAAGGGAGCGCAGGCGGGCGAUCAAGUUGGAAGUGAAAUCCAUGGGCUCAACCCAUGAACUGCUUUCAAAACUGGUCGUCUUGAGUAGUGCAGAGGUAGGCGGAAUUCCCGGUGUAGCGGUGGAAUGCGUAGAUAUCGGGAGGAACACCAGUGGCGAAGGCGGCCUACUGGGCACCAACUGACGCUGAGGCUCGAAAGUGUGGGUAGCAAACAGGA
rnacentral:rRNA from 1 species